CCCACACAGUGCCUCCACGCCUCCACGCCCAUCCAGUGCCCCCACGCCUCCACGCCCAUCCAGUGCCCCCACGCCUCCACGCCCAUCCAGUGCGUAUUACAAGGUUAUCUAUUUCAAGUUUACCUGUUUCAAGCUUUUUGUGGCUGAGGUGACAGCUUGGUAAUAUUCCAGAAUCACACCCAAGCUUACCCAUGUCAAGUUUACCUGUUUCAAGCUUUUUGUGGCUGAGGUGACAGCUUGGUAACAUUCCAGAAUCACACCCAAGCUUACCCAUGUCAAGUUUACCUGUUUCAAGCUUUUUGUGGCUGAGGUGACAGCUUGGUAUCAUUUCAGGUUUAAUCUUAGGGAGCACCACUCCAAACCAACAUUCGUAGUAAAUUAGCACGUGAGAGAAUUUUAAUGAUAAUGCAUUUUCGUAUACGUUUUACCUUGGGGAGGGGCCAGGGGGGCAAGCCUCAUUAAUUAUAAAGUUGGGUGGCUUGGAUUUUCUAAGUCCAUUGUUAUUGUUUCACGAGCGCCUCUAUGCACAGACUGAGCCUCGUACCUGCCUUGCAGUGCACCAAACAAACUAUAUAGCUCCCAAGUCAGUACACGCACGGAUCAUUACAAUUUUGGACAUAAAACAGUCUCUAUGAUUUCUAUGUUAUUUUCUUGGCUAUAUUAAAGCACAUAAUGGCACAAG